GACGAACGCUGGCGGCGUGCCUAAUACAUGCAAGUUGAGCGCUGAAGGUUGGUACUUGUACCAACUGGAUGAGCAGCGAACGGGUGAGUAACGCGUGGGGAAUCUGCCUUUGAGCGGGGGACAACAUUUGGAAACGAAUGCUAAUACCGCAUAAAAACUUUAAACACAAGUUUUAAGUUUGAAAGAUGCAAUUGCAUCACUCAAAGAUGAUCCCGCGUUGUAUUAGCUAGUUGGUGAGGUAAAGGCUCACCAAGGCGAUGAUACAUAGCCGACCUGAGAGGGUGGUCGGCCACAUUGGGACUGAGACACGGCCCAAACGCCUACGGGAGGCAGCAGUAGGGAAUCUUCGGCAAUGGACGAAAGUCUGACCGAGCAACGCCGCGUGAGGGAAGAAGGUUUUCGGAUCGUAAAACUCUGUUGGUAGAGAAGAACGUUGGUGAGAGUGGAAAGCUCAUCAAGUGACGGUAACUACCCAGAAAGGGACGGCUAACUACGUG
rnacentral:rRNA from 1 species